rnacentral:lncRNA from 1 species
ACAGGCUGCCAGCUGUGUUUCCUCAGCUGCAGUGCAAGUGGGGCAUGCUCCGUUGAGACUUUAUUCACUCUGGGCAGUUUGUUGAAGAUUAGGUGGUCAGCUCACAAUGAAUCAUAAGCUGCUUUUGUCCCUUGCUGUCUAUGCUUAGAAGCUAAAAGGUUAAGCAGCGAUGUCAGCGCUAUCAGGGAGCUGUGGAGACUGGAAUUGAAGUUCAGAACCUUUCAUGGGAGACAGCUCAGAUGUAUUUCUGUGCAAAACUUGUCUCCAAGGAAGACUCUAAUCUUCUAAACUCUGGAUUUAUAUGAUUUCUCAAUAUGCUAUAUCAACCUCAUUUUGCUAAUAAUGAUACAGGACGGAGGCAGCAAAGUUCUGGAUAGAGAAGGAUGGGGUCCCUGGUGAGGGCUCCACCCUCAGGCCUGUGCCCAUGGACCUAAGUAUGGACAAGCACUCCUGUUUUUGCACCCAAAUGUUGCAUUUUCCAAGACCACUCUGACCCAACACAUGCUCCAUCCUGUGCUUAUAAAAAUCCCGAGACCCUAACAGGCACACACAGAAGUGGCUGGACGUUGAGAGGAGCAGAAGAGCACACUGACAGACACCAGCAAAUGCUCGCAGGCCAUCGAGGGCAGGAUGAGGAUGACUUGGAAUUUGGCAGGGGAUGAUUAGAGGAGAGUCUGGCCACUGGGCAGCCAACUCCACAUUCCCACUUAAUCCUCCUUCUGUUCUCCCCAUCCAUCUUGCUGAGAGCUACCUCCGCUCAAUAAAAUCUUGCACCCACCCUCAAAGCCUAUGUGUGAUCCAAUUUUUCCGGUACAUGAAGGCAAGAACCCAGGAUACAGAAAGCCCUCUGUCCUUGUUGAGCUAAUUAACAAAAGCCACUUGCAGAUGGCAAAACUGAAAGUGCACACUGUAACACAUGCCCACUGGGGCCUCAGGAGCUGUAAACACUCAAGCCUAGAUACUACCAUGGGAUUGGAGCCCAAAAUGCUUUCCACAGCCUCCCUGACUGCAUGCUCCCCACCCGCUUGGGGUUUGAGCAGAGGGGCACCAAAGAAGCCAGUCACACCCCUGUUGCAGUCCCUAUGAAGGGGAUAAAGGAACUUUUCUUGUUUCAACUGGGGGCUUGUCCGGAAUCCCCAAAGGCCAUCAAACUCCAAACAGACAGGCAACUGGUGCCUCAGACGAUGGCUCUCCUUUGCCAGGAACCCUUAGAUAGACCUCUGGGAGGAAUCUGACUGCCAUUUUCCCCAAAACAAGACCCCCCUGUCAGCAGGAAAUAGCUAAGACCGGUUGUCCUCCAUAUUCUAACAGCAGUUAGAUAUGUCUCUUCAGAGGAGAGAAAUGAUACAGGAGAGGGGCAGGGAAGUGCUGGAUAGAGAAGGGCAGGGUCCCUGGCAAGGGCUCCACCCUUGGACAUGUGCCCAUGGACCUAAGUGAGGACAGACACUCCUGUUUUUGUGCCCAAAUGUUGCAUUUUUCAAGACCGCUCUGGCCCACCAGGGAUCCUCCCACCCCUAAUUCUGUGCCUAUAAAAAUCCUGAGACCCUAGUGGGCACACACACAAGUGGUUAGAUGUCAAAAGGAGCAGAGGAGCAAAAGGGCAGAUGCCAGCAGACGCUGGCAGUCUAUCGUCCAUCGACAGUGGGAAAAUAUGGAAGUCAGCCGGGGGAUGGUCGGUGGAGAGUUCGGCUGCUGGGCAGCUGACCCCAAGGGAGGACCACCUUCCCACUUCUUCCCCCUUCUUGCCUCCCCAUCCACCUCACUGAGAGGUACCUCUACUCCAUAGAACCUGCACCCAUCUUCCAAGCCCACGUGUGAUCUGAUUUUUCUGGUACACUAGAGCACGGAAAGCCCUCUGUCCUUGUGAUAAGGCAGAACAUCCAAUUGAGCUGAUUAACACAAGCUGCCUGCAGAAGGCAAAACAAAGAGCACACUGUAACCGCAUGCCGACUGGGGCUUCGGGAGCUGUAAACACAACCCUAGACGCUGCCUUGGGGCCAGAACCCAAACGUUCCCCACAACAUGCCCGACUGCAUGCUCCCCCUAGGAGUUUGAGCAGAGGGGCACUGAAGAAGCGAGUCACACCCCUGUUGCACACCCUUCCAGGGGAAAAAAAGAGCUUUUCCCAUCUCAAUAAAACUAGUACAUACAAUUCUCAUACCUAUAUCUCAUUCCACUUCCACCUUUAACAUCUCUCAUUCUAAUACUUAGUUGCUCUUUGAACUCCAUCAUGAAGUCUUAUUCAACUAAACCAUCAAGUUUAUCAUAUCCUCCACUGUUUGAUUUUCAUUUCACAACACAGGAUGACUUGGGUAUUUAUCUAAAAUGCAGAUUCAUGGUCUUUGCCCCAGUAAAUUUUUAUCCGAGAGAUUUUGAGUAGGGGUUGUGAUCUAUAUUUUUAAAAACCUCCCCGGGUGAGACAGAAACAUAUUCAAAGACAGUGCUUAGUUUCCCCCUCCACUCCGCUCAGUUAAUUUUCUUGUUUUUGGAGAUCCAGCCUUGAAUGAAUUCCCCAAGAGUGGGACCAACCCAGACGUUUAGGAUAGUCUCCCAAAUGCACAGGGUUUGUCUGCAUCAAUUACAAAGAAGCCUAGACUGCUUGACAUAUGUUUAUAUGUCCCACCAUAACAUUUUGGAUCAACAGUGUUCAAAAUAUAUUCUAUUUCAGACCUUUGAUGUCUAUCCUUUUGCCUUUCUCUUGUGAAGUCCUGCUGGUAGGACAUAAAGCCUAGGGCAUCCCAUCACCUGCCUGAGCCUAGUGGCCUGUUCCUGUCUUGGUCCCAUGUUGCUACAUCCUGCCCAGAAUUAAGAGAUUUUCCUAAGCUAAUAGACCAAAUGAGAUAUGUCUCAAUAAGACUGUAUGUGAGAACUCCAAUUUCUCCAAAAGAGAAUUUUCAAUUAGUUCAUGUUGUACCAUGUUGGAAAGUCAGUUACAUUACAAAAUUCCCUAGCUCUUCAAAGCCAAUUUGAAUGAUUCUUGUAUACUUAGUUUUGAGAUUCUUUCUAGAAUAAUUUCCCCAAAUGAUGAGUUUAUCAUUGGAUCCACCAACAAUGUUAGAUUGCUCAUUAAUUCUCUUGUGCCUUCUAAGUCAUUUUGAAGAUCUAGUGUUUUUCAGGUGUCGCCUCUUCUUUUUAUUCUUUUAAGUCAUUUCUAGGACUCAGAUGUUUUCCUCAAGAAGAUGCAUUGUUUUAGUAAAGUUCAGUUUGAAUCCUUCUUACUACAUUUUUAUUUAAUCCCCCACUAUGUUGUUUUUCUUCUUGAGAUAUUUUAUUUGCUGUCAGUAGGCAUUCUAAGCAGAGGUUUAGCUGAUAAUUAGCCAUUUCUUUAGUGACACAUCUCACUUGACAAAGAGGGUUAAAAAAGAUGAUUUCCUUGGAUUGUACUUUUUAGUUGUGAUGAUAUAUUCCAUUAUUUACUAUGUAAACUGAUACACCUUAGCUCAGCACUAGGUUUUGUAUCAUCAAACUAAAAAAACAAAUUUAAUAGUUUUUUCUCCUCUUUGAACCAAAACUUAAGAAGUUUGUGGAAAUGUGAAAAGCUAGAAUAACAAAUAUGCAAUUAAGCACAAUCCUCUGAGAAAUAGAAAAUAGCAAUAAUUGUUUAGAUUAUAAGAUUCGGGGUUCAAUGUUCCAUAAAACAAAGGUAUUAUUUAGAUUUAUUUUUGUUUCCUUACAACUAAGCUUAACACAGGCUUUUAUAGAAAUUUAAAAAUAUUUAUAUAAAAGGACAAGGGACUAUUAAGAAGGAAGAUAAAUAUUUCAUGUAGAACUACUACAUCAGCUUUCUUGAAAUAAUUAACUGGUAAGUUCAAUUUACCCUCAAAUCAAUUAAGAUUCAAUAACAGUUUCAACCUUUUCCCCUUUUGGUUGAAGUUUGACCAAAUUGAUUUUGUUAUUUUGACAGACUAUGGUCAUAAUCAAACCACUCGAAAUCCUUUGUGGCAUCAUAAAGGGACUCUUUCAGAAUAUUAAGAAAAGCAUCCAUAGCAUUAUUAUACUUUUUGUCCACACAUUAUUUGACAUGCCAUCUUUUUCACAUGAAUAUGUAAAAUGAUGUAAUCCUAAUUAGGUUCAUCAUACAAAUUUUUAAUAGUGAAAAGGCAUGACAAAAUGAGGCCUCUCUAAAGUUAUUUAUGAAUUGCAAAUUUGAGGAUUAUAUUUGAGAAACAGUUCUUUAUGAUCAUUACAGCCAAGCUACUCCAGAUUUUUCAUGGAAGUUAUUUUAACAAUAAAAAAAGACUGAUAUAAUUUAAGAUCUCAGUGAGGUGAGGCAUGGGUGGAUCAGUAACAACAGACAUUAUAUAGAUUAUAUACCAAGUUGAAAUUGAAGGUUCAUGAAGUAUAGUUUCAUCUUUUUCAUUGAUCAUCCUAGCAAAUACAUAUGCAUUUACCCCUGUUAAUUCAUGCACAUACUCUCAACCACUUCUGUUAUUAAUAUUUAAUACAUGUGUGGGCCAUCUGCCUUCCCUUCCUACCUCUAACACUACCAUACAUUGCAGGUUGCCUUUCUUACAUGCAUGCGGCUAUCCAGUCACACAUCCAAAAUCUUUUUACUCACCCUCCCCGAACAACUGGCAGCUCAAAACAUCCUCAAGAAAUGUGACUUGGGAGAGAGAAUGCACCUCUGUUUACAGGUUAGCAAGUUUAUUUAAACAGAUAUUUCUGAAGUUCAAGCUGGGUUGUGAACUCUAGAUGGAUCCUGAUGGAUAUAUCUUAGUGAUUCCAGGGACUCCUUCACCUUGGGGUGGAAUGCAAUUAGAGUGAAACAAAGUGGGACUCUAAUGCACAGGGCCUAGAUUAGGGUCCUCAAAUGCCUGAUGUAGUGGAUAUUUAUAUCUGUCUAAUAUAUUGCAGUAUGUGGAGCAACACAAGGUGGCCACUUUUAGUAAAAGAAAGAAUACUAGCCGGG